GACGAACGCUGGCGGCGUGCCUAAUACAUGCAAGUCGAGCGGACCAACCAGGAGCUUGCUCUUGUUUGGUUAGCGGCGGACGGGUGAGUAACACGUGGGUAACCUGCCCGUAAGACCGGGAUAACUCCGGGAAACCGGAGCUAAUACCGGAUAACACCGAAAACCGCAUGGUUUUUGGUUGAAAGGCGGCUUUGGCGUCACCUUACGGUGGGGCCCGGGCGGAUUAGGUAGGUUGGGAGGGAACGGGUUACCAAAGGGACCGAGCGGAGGCGGACCGGAGGGGGGGCCGGCCAACCUGGGACUGAGACACGGCCCACACCCCUACGGGAGGCAGCAGGAGGGAAUCUUCCGCAAUGGGCGAAAGGCUGACGGAGCGACGCCGCGGGGGCGAAGAAGGUCUUCGGAUCGUAAAGCUCUGGUGUUAGGGAAGAAGAAGCGCCGUUCGAACAGGGCGGCGCGGUGACGGUACCUAACGAGAAAGCCCCGGCUAACUACGUG
rnacentral:rRNA from 1 species